AGAGUUUGAUCCCGGCUCAGAAUCAACGCUGGCGGCGCGCUUAACACAUGCAAGUCGAGCGAGAAAGGGGGGCAACUCCUGAGUACAGCGGCGUACGGGUGAGUAACACGUGGGUAAUCUACCUCUUAGUGGGGAAUAACGCUGGGAAACCGGCGCUAAUACCGCAUGAGCCUGAGAAGGGAAAGCGGCCUUUGUGAAAACAAAGCCGCGCUGAGAGAGGAGCCCGCGGCCGAUUAGCUAGUUGGUGAGGUAACGGCCCACCAAGGCAAAGAUCGGUAGCCGGCCUGAGAGGGCACACGGCCACACUGGCACUGAAACACGGGCCAGACUCCUACGGGAGGCAGCAGUGGGGAAUCUUGCACAAUGGGGGAAACCCUGAUGCAGCGACGCCGCGUGAGCGAUGAAGCCCUUCGGGGUGUAAAGCUCUUUCGGCAGGGAAGAUUAUGACGGUACCUGCAGAAGCAGCUGCGGCUAACUACGUGCCAGCAGCCGCGGUAAUACGUAGGCAGCGAGCGUUGUUCGGAGUUACUGGGCGUAAAGGGUGUGUAGGCGGUUCUUUAAGUUUGGUGUGAAAUCUCCCGGCUCAACUGGGAGGGUGCGCCGAAUACUGAGGGACUAGAGUGCGGGAGAGGAAAGUGGAAUUCCUGGUGUAGCGGUGAAAUGCGUAGAUAUCAGGAGGAACACCGGUGGUGUAAACGGCUUUCUGGACCGUAACUGACGCUGAGACACGAAAGCGUGGGUAGCAAACAGGAUUAGAUACCCUGGUAGUCCACGCCCUAAACGAUGCAUAUUUGGUGUGGGUCAUUCAGUUGAUCCGUGCCGGAGCUAACGCGUUAAAUAUGCCGCCUGGGGAGUACAGUCGCAAGGCUGAAACUCAAAGGAAUUGACGGGGGCCCGCACAAGCGGUGGAGCAUGUGGUUCAAUUCGACGCAACGCGAAGAACCUUACCUGGGCUCGAACGGCUGGUUAACGACUUUGGAAACAGAGUUACUCCGCAAGGAGGUCCAGUCGAGGUGCUGCAUGGCUGUCGUCAGCUCGUGUCGUGAGAUGUUGGGUUAAGUCCCGCAACGAGCGCAACCCUCGUCCUGUGUUGCCAUGGGAGCAAUCCCGGAACUCGCAGGAGACCGCCAGCGAUAAGUUGGAGGAAGGUGGGGAUGACGUCAAGUCCUCAUGGCCUUUAUGUCCAGGGCUACACACGUGCUACAAUGGCCGGUACAAUCCGUCGCUAACCCGCGAGGGGGAGCCAAUCGGAAAAAACCGGUCUCAGUUCGGAUUGCAGGCUGCAACUCGCCUGCAUGAAGCUGGAAUCGCUAGUAAUGGCAGAUCAGCACGCUGCCGUGAAUACGUUCCCGGGCCUUGUACACACCGCCCGUCACAUCACGAAAGUGGAUUGUACUAGAAGUCUGCAGGCCGACCGGCUUUUUGAAAGAAGAGCUGGGGGCAGCGGCCCAAGGUAUGAUCCAUGAUUGGGGUGAAGUCGUAACAAGGUA
rnacentral:rRNA from 1 species